GGUUAAAAAGCUCGUAGUUGGAUUUCUGUCGAGGACGGUCGGUCCACACUUUGUGUGAGUAUCUGAUUCGGCCUUGGCAUCCUCCUGGGGUACGUUUCUGCGCUUGAUUGCGUGGAGCGGAAUUCAGGACUUUUACUUUGAGGAAAUUAGAGUGUUCACGGCAGGCAAACGCCUUGAAUAUAUUAGCAUGGAAUAAUAAUAUAGGACCUUUGUUCUAUUUUGUUGAUUUCUAGAGCGAAGGUAAUGAUUAAUAGGGAUAAUUGGGGGCAUUUGUAUUAACGCGUCAGAGGUGGAAUUCUUGGAUUGCGUUACGACAAACUACUGCGAAAGCAUUUGCCAAGGAUGUUUUCAUUGAUCAAGAACGAAAGUUAGGGGAUCGAAGACGCUUAGAUACCGUCGUAGUCUUAACCAUAAACUAUGCCGACUAGAGAUUGGUGGUCGUUCUUUUUAUGACUCCAUCAGCACCUUAUGAGAAAUCAAAGUCUUUGGGUUCCGGGGGGAGUAUGGUCGCAAGGCUGAAACUUAAAGGAAUUGACGGAAGGGCACCACCAGGAGUGGAGCCUGCGGCUUAAUUUGACUCAACACGGGAAAACUUACCAGGUCCAGACAUAGUGAGGAUUGACAGAUUGAU
rnacentral:rRNA from 1 species